rnacentral:rRNA from 1 species
CAGCAGCCGCGGUAAAACGAAGGGUGCAAGCGUUACUCGGAAUUACUGGGCGUAAAGCGUGCGUAGGUGGUGGUUUAAGUCCGUUGUGAAAGCCCUGGGCUCAACCUGGGAAUUGCAGUGGAUACUGGGUCACUAGAGUGUGGUAGAGGAUAGUGGAAUUUCCGGUGUAGCAGUGAAAUGCGUAGAGAUCGGAAGGAACAUCUGUGGCGAAGGCGACUAUCUGGGCCAACACUGACACUGAGGCACGAAAGCGUGGGGAGCAAACAGGAUUAGAUACCCGUGUAGUCCCUGUCUCUUAUAA